UACAGGGGGUGCAAACGUUGCUCGGAAUUAUUGGGCGUAAAGCGCGCGUAGGCGGCUACUUAAGUCGGAUGUGAAAGCCCCUGGCUCAACUGGGGAAGUGCACCCGAAACUGAGUGGCUUGAGUACAAAAGAGGGUCGCGGAAUUCCCGGUGUAGAGGUGAAAUUCGUAGAUAUCUGGAAGAACACCGGUGGCGAAGGCGGUCAACUGGCCCUGAACUGACGCUCAGGCACGAAAGCGUGGGGAUCAAACAGG
rnacentral:rRNA from 1 species